CACCCUCUUUGUUCCUCUUCAGAAUGCUUGCUGCUACUCUCAAGCUUCUCAACCAACCCUUCUGUCUCUUCAAACCCUCUAUAGAAAUGCGAGACUCAACAAGAUCUCGUCGCAUGAAAUGUUGCACAAAUGGAGAGCGCCCAAUGUCUCUCUAAAAUUCGUCGAUGGUGACCAAACGAUCAGAGCCUACUCUUCUCAGCCUGCUUAAAACUCGAUUGCCACUUGGGUUAUUGAUGACGAAUUCAGUGCAAUUAUCCAAGUUUCUUAUUCUGCAAACCAUAUUUUCUCUAUCAUCAUCAACUGAAUUUAUCUCUUCCAAACCCCUACUCAUGAGUGAAGAUCUACUCGACGAGAAAUUGAUUUCAAAAUUGGAGCUCAU
rnacentral:lncRNA from 1 species